UGAUAAGAAAUAGAUCUGGUUUCUGAAC
rnacentral:piRNA from 1 species